rnacentral:rRNA from 1 species
UGGGGAAUAUUGGACAAUGGGCGAAAGCCUGAUCCAGCCAUGCCGCGUGUGUGAAGAAGGUCUUCGGAUUGUAAAGCACUUUAAGUUGGGAGGAAGGGCAGUAAGCGAAUACCUUGCUGUUUUGACGUUACCGACAGAAUAAGCACCGGCUAACUCUGUGCCAGCAGCCGCGGUAAUACAGAGGGUGCAAGCGUUAUCGGAAUUACUGGGCGUAAAGCGCGCGUAGGUGGUUCGUUAAGUUGAAUGUGAAAGCCCCGGGCUCAACCUGGGAACUGCAUCCAAAACUGGCGAGCUAGAGUAGGGCAGAGGGUGGUGGAAUUUCCUGUGUAGCGGUGAAAUGCGUAGAUAUAGGAAGGAACACCAGUGGCGAAGGCGACCACCUGGGCUCAUACUGACACUGAGGUGCGAAAGCGUGGGGAGCAAACAGG